CCUUGCCAGCCCGCUCAGAAACUUAAGGAAUUGACGGGGCCCGCACAAGCGGUGGAGUAUGUGGUUUAAUUCGAUGCAACGCGAAGAACCUUACCUGGUCUUGACAUCCCGGAGACCCUUAGGAAACUAGGGGGUGCUUCCAUCUGGAAGAAUCUGGAGACAGGUGCUGCAUGGCUGUCGUCAGCUCGUGUCGUGAGAUGUUGGGUUAAGUCCCGCAACGAGCGCAACCCUUGCCUUUAGUUGCCAGCAGUUCGGCUGGGCACUCUAAAGGGACUGCCGGUGUUAAACCGGAGGAAGGUGGGGAUGACGUCAAGUCCUCAUGGCCUUUAUGACCAGGGCUACACACGUACUACAAUGGCCGAUACAAAGGGCAGCGACACUGCGAGGUGAAGCCAAUCCCGUAAAAUCGGUCUCAGUCCGGAUUGGAGUCUGCAACUCGACUCCAUGAAGUUGGAAUCGCUAGUAAUUCGAGAUCAGCAUGCUCGGGUGAAUGCGUUCCCGGGCCUU
rnacentral:rRNA from 1 species